rnacentral:rRNA from 1 species
GAUGAACGCUGGCGGCGUGCUUAACACAUGCAAGUCGAACGGGAAACCUUUUAUUGAAGCUUCGGCAGAUUUAGCUGGUUUCUAGUGGCGGACGGGUGAGUAACGCGUGGGUAACCUGCCUUAUACAGGGGGAUAACAACCAGAAAUGGUUGCUAAUACCGCAUAAGCGCACAGGACCGCAUGGUCCGGUGUGAAAAACUCCGGUGGUAUAAGAUGGACCCGCGUUGGAUUAGCUAGUUGGCAGGGUAACGGCCUACCAAGGCGACGAUCCAUAGCCGGCCUGAGAGGGUGAACGGCCACAUUGGGACUGAGACACGGCCCAGACUCCUACGGGAGGCAGCAGUGGGGAAUAUUGCACAAUGGGGGAAACCCUGAUGCAGCGACGCCGCGUGUAGGAAGAAGUAUCUCGGUAUGUAAACUUCUAUCAGCAGGGAAGAUAGUGACGGUACCUGACUAAGAAGCCCCGGCUAACUACGUG